CUUCAGUGAUGAUACGAUGACGAGUCAGAAAGGGCCGCCAUUUUGCUUGGAGUAAACUGCUCAGUGCCAUGUUCUGUGAUGCUGUGCUUGGUUGCUCUGGCAGAGGUGUCCUGUUCAUUGGAUGAUCUAGAGGCAUUUGUCUGAGAAGG